rnacentral:rRNA from 1 species
AUGCCUGCCAUGCCGGAUGCGGCCGUGCUGGCCUUCUACCUCGCCGACGGCUGCGCCAAGAUCCUGCUGCCGCUCCUCUGCUUCCUCGGCAGCGGCGGGCCGUCCACCCGCAGCCCCGCCGUCGACGAGGCGGCCGCCUUCCUCCUCGUCCUCCUCCCCACGGUCUACCUCGCCGGCGUCAUCGUCGCCCACUUCGCCGGCGUCGUCCUCGCCCACCUCCACCUGGCCACCCCGACGCCGGCCACGACUGCGGCCGCGGCCGUCUCCUCCGCCGGUCCGGCAUGGUUCGUCGCUCUGUUCUUCUCGCUCGUCUCCGCGCUACUUCUCCUCGUUGCUGUGCCGUUCGCCGCCAUCUCCUUCUUCCUCGGCGCGGGAAAGCAGGGGACUGGGCCGGGGUUCAGCGAGAACGAGCUGAGCUUAAUCUCAGCUCAAUCCCCCCUCCUACUGCGCCAUACGGAAGAAAUUAUACUCCUUUUGCUUUUGUAG